rnacentral:rRNA from 1 species
UGAGGAAUAUUGCGCAAUGGAGGCAACUCUGACGCAGCCAUGCCGCGUGCAGGAAGAAGGCGCUACGCGUUGUAAACUGCUUUUAACCGGGAAGAAACCCCAGGACGUGUCCUGGGUUGACGGUACCGGAGGAAUAAGCACCGGCUAACUUCGUGCCAGCAGCCGCGGUAAUACGAAGGGUGCAAGCGUUAUCCGGAUUCAUUGGGUUUAAAGGGUGCGUAGGCGGGGUGGUAAGUCAGUGGUGAAAUCCUGCAGCUUAACUGUAGAAUUGCCAUUGAUACUGCCAUUCUUGAGUACGCUGGAUGUGGGCGGAAUGUGCCGUGUAGCGGUGAAAUGCUUAGAUAUGGCACAGAACACCGAUAGCGAAGGCAGCUCACAACGGCGAAACUGACGCUGAGGCACGAAAGCGUGGGGAUCGAACAGG